rnacentral:rRNA from 1 species
GAUGAACGCUGGCGGCGUGCCUAAUACAUGCAAGUCGAGCGAACGGACGAGAAGCUUGCUUCCCUGAUGUUAGCGGCGGACGGGUGAGUAACACGUGGAUAACCUACCUAUAAGACUGGGAUAACUUCGGGAAACCGUAGCUAAUACCGGAUAAUAUUUUGAACCGCAUGGUUCAAAAGUGAAAGACGGUCUUGCUGUCACUUAUAGAUGGAUCCGCGCUUCAUUAGCUAGUUGGUAAGGUAACGGCUUACCAAGGCAACGAUGCAUAGCCGACCUGAGAGGGUGAUCGGCCACACUGGAACUGAGCCACGGUCCAGACUCCUACGGGAGGCAGCAGUAGGGAAUCUUCCGCAAUGGGCGAAAGCCUGACGGAGCAACGCCGCGUGAGUGAUGAAGGUCUUCGGAUCGUAGAGCGCUGUUAUUAGGGAAGAACAUAUGUGUAAGUAACUGUGCACAUCUUGACGGUACCUAAUCAGAAAGCCCCGGCUAACUACGUG